rnacentral:rRNA from 1 species
UAAAAAAAGGUAAGCUACUAAGAGCGAAUGGUGGAUGCCUUGACUGGUAAAGGCGAUGAAGGACGUACUAGACUGCGAUAAGCUACGGGGAGCUGUCAAGAAGCUUUGAUCCGUAGAUUUCCGAAUGGGGCAACCCAAUGUAUAGAGAUAUACAUUACCUAUAUAGGAGCGAACGAGGGGAAUUGAAACAUCUUAGUACCCUCAGGAAAAGAAAUCAAUAGAGAUUGCGUCAGUAGCGGCGAGCGAAAGCGCAAGAGGGCAAACCCAGUGCUUGCACUGGGGGUUGUAGGACUGCAAUGUGCAAGAGGUAAGUUUAGCAGAACAUUCUGGAAAGUAUAACCAUAGAGGGUGAUAGUCCCGUAUGCGAAAAACAAACCUUAGCUAGCAGUAUCCUGAGUAGGGCGGGACACGAGGAAUCCUGUCUGAAUCCGGGUCGACCACGAUCCAACCCUAAAUACUAAUACCAGAUCGAUAGUGCACAAGUACCGUGAGGGAAAGGUGAAAAGAACUGAGGUGAUCAGAGUGAAAUAGAACCUGAAACCAUUUGCUUACAAUCAUUCAGAGCCUUAUGUAGCAAUACAGGGUGAUGGACUGCCUUUUGCAUAAUGAGCCUGCGAGUUGUGGUGUCUGGCAAGGUUAAGCAAACGCGAAGCCGUAGCGAAAGCGAGUCUGAAUAGGGCGCUUAGUCAGAUGCUGCAGACCCGAAACGAAGUGAUCUAUCCAUGAGCAAGUUGAAGCUAGUGUAAGAACUAGUGGAGGACUGAACCCAUAGGCGUUGAAAAGCCCCGGGAUGACUUGUGGAUAGGGGUGAAAGGCCAAUCAAACUUCGUGAUAGCUGGUUCUCUCCGAAAUAUAUUUAGGUAUAGCGUUGUGUCGUAAUAUAAGGGGGUAGAGCACUGAAUGGGCUAGGGCAUACACCAAUGUACCAAACCCUAUCAAACUCCGAAUACCUUAUAUGUAAUCACAGCAGUCAGGCGGCGAGUGAUAAAAUCCGUCGUCAAGAGGGAAACAACCCAGACUACCAGCUAAGGUCCCUAAAUCUUACUUAAGUGGAAAACGAUGUGAAGUUACUUAAACAACCAGGAGGUUGGCUUAGAAGCAGCCAUCCUUUAAAGAAAGCGUAAUAGCUCACUGGUCUAGUGAUUUUGCGCGGAAAAUAUAACGGGGCUAAAGU